GUGAGGAAUAUUGGUCAAUGGGCGAAAGCCUGAACCAGCCAUGUCGCGUGAAGGAUGAAUGUCCUAUGGAUUGUAAACUUCUUUUGCAGGAGGGUAAAGUGAGCUACGUGUAGUUCAUUGCAAGUACCCUGCGAAUAAGCAUCGGCUAACUCCGUGCCAGCAGCCGCGGUAAUACGGAGGAUGCGAGCGUUAUCCGGAUUUAUUGGGUUUAAAGGGUGCGUAGGCGGACUAAUUAGUCAGCGGUGAAAUUUUGCGGCUCAACCGUAAAACUGCCGUUGAAACUGUUAGUCUUGAGUGCGGUAGAGGUAGGCGGAAUGUGUGGUGUAGCGGUGAAAUGCUUAGAUAUCACACAGAACACCGAUUGCGUAGGCAGCUUACUGGAGCGCAACUGACGCUGAGGCACGAAAGCGUGGGGAUCGAACAGGAUUAGAAACCCCUGUAGUCC
rnacentral:rRNA from 1 species